rnacentral:misc_RNA from 1 species
UGUGACAUACCUUCAACGUUGCUUCGGCGGGUUGGCCCCGGUCUCCGGGGUCCCCGGCCCUACUCGGGCGCCCGCCGGAGGUAUCUAACUCUUGAACUUUUAUGGCCUCUCUGAGUCUUUGUACUUAAUAAGUCAAAACUUUCAACAACGGAUCUCUUGGUUCUGGCAUCGAUGAAGAACGCAGCGAAAUGCGAUAAGUAAUGUGAAUUGCAGAAUUCAGUGAAUCAUCGAAUCUUUGAACGCACAUUGCGCCCGCCAGUAUUCUGGCGGGCAUGCCUGUUCGAGCGUCAUUUCAACCAUCAAGCCCCCGGCUUGUGUUGGGGACCUGCGGCUGCCGCAGGCCCUGAAAACCAGUGGCGGGCUCGCUAGUCACUCCGAGCGUAGUAAUACAUCUCGCUCAGGGCGUGCUGCGGGUUCCGGCCGUUAAAAAGCCUUAUUUACCCAAGGUUGACCUCGGAUCAGGUAGGAAGACCCGCUGAACUUAAGCAUAUCAAAAGCGGAGGAAAG